rnacentral:rRNA from 1 species
UAGAGGAAGUAAAAGUCGUAACAAGGUUUCCGUAGGUGAACCUGCGGAAGGAUCAUUAUCGAAAAGCAAAUCCGGACGGGGGAGAUGAUCGGGCGAAGUUUGGUAGAUCGUAGGGACUGUCGCUGGCCUUUUUUUGGCAUGUGCACGUUCCGAGCUCUCCUUAGUCCUCGAUCGCUCUUCCUUUGGAAACCUUUUCUCUUUACACCCGUGCACCUUAUUGUAGGUCCCGCAAGGGAUCUAUGUCUUAAUCUACCCCAAACGUAUGUCUUAGAAUGUCCUUAUUGCGUCGACCGGCCUGGCUAACGCCUGGUUGGCGACGGUAAAGAAUCAUAUACAACUUUCAGCAACGGAUCUCUUGGCUCUCGCAUCGAUGAAGAACGCAGCGAAUUGCGAUACGUAAUGUGAAUUGCAGAUUUUCAGUGAAUCAUCGAAUCUUUGAACGCACCUUGCGCUCCUUGGUAUUCCGAGGAGCAUGCCUGUUUGAGUGUCAUCGAAUUCUCAACCAUUCUUUGAUUGAUUUCGAGGAAUGGCUUGGAUUUUGGGAGUUGCCGGCCCCCCAUGGGUGGUCGACUCUCCUUAAAAGCAUUAGCGAAAGGUGGCAAGCCCCUGCAUGCACGGCCUUCGACGUGAUAAUGAUCGUCGUGGCUGGAGUGCGAGGCUCGGUUCCGUCCUUUGCUUCUAAACGGUUCGUAUCGAGGGGACUUUUUUGCUUCGGCGAAACGGAAACCUCUUUACUUCUUGACGCUUGACCUCAAAUCAGGUAGGACUACCCGCUGAACUUAAGCAUAUCAAUAAAGCGGGG